GGGGAACAUUGCGCAAUGGGGGGAACCCUGACGCAGCAACGCCGCGUGAGUGAAGAAGGCUUUCGGGUCGUAAAGCUCUGUCAUUGGGGACGAAAGGAGACGGUACCCAAGGAGGAAGCCACGGCUAACUACGUGCCAGCAGCCGCGGUAAUACGUAGGUGGCGAGCGUUGUCCGGAAUUACUGGGCGUAAAGGGUGCGUAGGCGGGAUAUUAAGUUAGAUGUGAAAACCCCGGGCUUAACCUGGGGAGUGCAUUUAAAACUGGUAACCUGGAGUGCAGGAGAGGUAAGCGGAAUUCCUAGUGUAGCGGUGAAAUGCGUAGAUAUUAGGAAGAACACCAGUGGCGAAGGCGACUCUCUGGACCGUAACUGACGCUGAGGCAUGAAAGCGUGGGGAGCAAAC
rnacentral:rRNA from 1 species